rnacentral:rRNA from 1 species
UGGUAUUUUGACUAUACGAAGGUAUUGAAAUAAGAUUUUAAAUGAGUGCUAAGAGAAUGAUUAAACAAUUAAAAGCUUUCUUUAAUUGAAUAAUUGAAUUUAAUUUUUUAGUGCAAAAGCAAAAAUAAAAAUUAGGGACAAGAAGACCCUAUGAAUUUUUUAUUAAAUUUUAUAAAACUUUAUAUAAAAUUUAAUUUAAUUGGGGUGAUGGAAAAAGAAUAAAUAUCUUUUUUUUAAAAAAAAUUGGUUCCGUUUUUAGCGAUUAAAUGAAAAAAAUACUCUAGGGAUAACAGCGUAAUAAUUUUGGAUAGUUCAUAUAGAUAAAAUAGUUUGCGACCUCGAUGUUGGAUUAGGAUUCUUUUUUGGUGAAGAAGUUAAAAAAAGAA